rnacentral:rRNA from 1 species
GAUGAACGCUGGCGGCGUGCCUAAUACAUGCAAGUCGAGCGAACGGACGAGAAGCUUGCUUUUCUGAUGUUAGCGGCGGACGGGUGAGUAACACGUGGAUAACCUACCUAUAAGACUGGGAUAACUUCGGGAAACCGGAGCUAAUACCGGAUAAUAUUUUGAACCGCAUGGUUCAAAAGUGAAAGACGGUCUUGCUGUCACUUAUAGAUGGAUCCGCGCUGCAUUAGCUAGUUGGUAAGGUAACGGCUUACCAAGGCAACGAUGCAUAGCCGACCUGAGAGGGUGAUCGGCCACACUGGAACUGAGACACGGUCCAGACUCCUACGGGAGGCAGCAGAGGGAAUCUUCCGCAAUGGGCGAAAGCCUGACGGAGCAACGCCGCGUGAGUGAUGAAGGUCUUCGGAUCGUAAAACUCUGUUAUUAGGGAAGAACAUAUGUGUAAGUAACUGUGCACAUCUUGACGGUACCUAAUCAGAAAGCCACGGCUAACUACGUG